UACGUAGGCAGCGAGCGUUGUUCGGAGUUACUGGGCGUAAAGGGUGUGUAGGCGGUUCUUUUAAGUUUGGUGUGAAAUCUCCCGGCUCAACCGGGAGGGUGCGCCGAAUACUGAGGGACUAGAGUGCGGGAGAGGAAAGUGGAAUUCCUGGUGUAGCGGUGAAAUGCGUAGAUAUCAGGAGGAACACCGGUGGUGUAGACGGCUUUCUGGACCGUAACUGACGCUGAGACACGAAAGCGUGGGUAGCGAACGGG
rnacentral:rRNA from 1 species